rnacentral:rRNA from 1 species
UACGUAGGGUGCAAGCGUUGUCCGGAAUUAUUGGGCGUAAAGAGCUUGUAGGCGGUUUGUCGCGUCUGCUGUGAAAUUUCGGGGCUCAACCCCGAACUUGCAGUGGGUACGGGCAGACUAGAGUGUGGUAGGGGGAGACUGGAAUUCCUGGUGUAGCGGUGAAAUGCGCAGAUAUCAGGAGGAACACCGGUGGCGAAGGCGGGUCUCUGGGCCGAUACUGACGCUGAGGAGCGAAAGCGUGGGGGAGCGAACAGG